rnacentral:misc_RNA from 1 species
CAAUAUCCUUGUAUCAUAUGGAUUAAUAUUCAUUCCUUCUUUGUAUAUUUUUCUUCCUAUUUUGUGUAUUUUAUUAGUUUCUUUGUGUGAUAAAAAUAUUAAUGUAUAAAUAGAAAUAUGUACCAAAUCAUUUACGCACAAAGAAAUAUACUACUUUUCUCCUAAAUUAGUUGCGUCAACAAGAUUAUUAUAUUAAAUUAAUAGAGUUUGAGGGGCGAUGUGUCUAUGAGGAAAAGUGAUAGAGAUGUUUACUUCAACAUUUCUUCAAUGUCAAUUCCAGGCAGAAGUGUGCGAAGAGGCCACUUCCGGUUUUUGAGAAUAUCGUAGGCAGGCUGCUUGACUUGUGAGAAAAUUCGAAUUGCCUAAAUGACCCGUUCCAUUGGGACAAAUCCUGUCUCGUGCAACCCGGUUCAAGGAGACACACUUCCUCCUUAUGCUGAUCCAAAUUCUGAAAACCACUUCUCAUGC